AACCAAGCCCACAGAUCUUCAUUGGGUCCAGCACAGUUAAUGCAGGGCAGGGGUGUUAUUGUUUCUUUUGAUCAAUUUUCUAGGGCCGAUCGCAGGGAUUGGAUUCUCUAAAGCUUGGGUUGUGGAGGUUAUCAACCAAUUGAUCGUUAAAGCCGAGUCUAGUCUGAGCCGGAUUUGGGUUUUAGGCUGGUCUCCCGUGUGUUUUUGUAGACAAAAUGGAACAGAAGUGGAAGACUAUAACUUGCUCAGUGAUGAUUGAAUAAGUUCCAUGCUGAAGGUCCAGCCAAAUGGCGAAGGAAGAUUAGUUAUUUCAGGCACCCAAAUGGAAUCAAAAUUGGCCCUAGGGUCUGAGGAGAGAUCUGAAAUUGAUGAUCUAGCAGGUCAAGAUUACAUGAGUUUUGAACUUUAAUCACUUGAAGGGUUUCGGAAUGGGAAGUAUAGGCCUCUAACCGUGGAAGAAAUGCUAUCUUUCAAGUUUACCGGAGUUCCUAGAGCUAUAAGAUAAGUAUAUGGAUGAACAAAGAUAGGGAAACAAAAGCUGUAGAGGUCAGCAUGAUCAAAUACUAACACCAUCGUGUACAAGCAUGGCAACCUUGGUUAAACCUUUGUUUUCUUUUUUUUCUUUUUUGGAUUUUGAUGAUUUCAGUAAUUUUACAGUUUUAUAUGAAAAAUUUCUUUGUCUA